rnacentral:rRNA from 1 species
UUUUGGACAAUGGGGGCAACCCUGAUCCAGCAAUGCCGCGUGUGGGAAGAAGGCCUUUGGGUUGUAAACCACUUUUGUACGGAACGAAAAGGUCUGCCCUAAUACGGUGGGCCCAUGACGGUACCGUAAGAAUAAGCACCGGCUAACUACGUGCCAGCAGCCGCGGUAAUACGUAGGGUGCGAGCGUUAAUCGGAAUUACUGGGCGUAAAGCGUGCGCAGGCGGUUAUAUAAGACAGUUGUGAAAUCCCCGGGCUCAACCUGGGAAUUGCAUCUGUGACUGUAUAGCUAGAGUACGGUAGAGGGGGAUGGAAUUCCGCGUGUAGCAGUGAAAUGCGUAGAUAUGCGGAGGAACACCGAUGGCGAAGGCAAUCCCCUGGACCUGUACUGACGCUCAUGCACGAAA